ensembl:lncRNA
CGCAUGUUCACGGUGCAUUUUUUAUGGAAUAUGUUGAGCAAACCUGGAGAAGCGUCAGCUCAAGAUAUUAUUGUUGUCAUUGCUGUGGAUCUUUACCUGAUACACUGACUUGGCUUGGGACCAGCACUCCUGUUGUUGGACAGAAAGACAUCAACUCAGUGACUUGAGAUAUGACUGCACUAUGCUGUUGCUGGUGACCACAGUUAAUUCUACAAGACAUGCUGUGACAACAGGAGAGAUGAGUCCUCCGUCACAGAUGGUGUGGUCAGUGAAGAUGGUCGCCUGCAGGUUCAAGCUCAUUGCAUCUCCAACCCACAUCCACUGCCACUGUACUUAAGGGAAGUUAAAGACUUUCUUCUGCACUUACAUUUGGAUCACCUCGAUCCAUGACAGUCAUUCAGGCAGUAAUGCCUGGACUGGAA